AUUCUUAGAAAUUACAUAGAAAAGAAAAAUGUGGGCAGCCAUUAAGGGCAGGCAUCAUGUAACAACCAAAAUUAAAGAUCAUUGCCUGAAACCUUCUCUAUUUCAUCUUUCAUUUCCAAUAGAUAAUCCAGAUGAAGGAUCGAACCCCUCUCUAGCCAGGAAGACAGAAUGUGGCUGUCGAUAGGAGUUUAAGCUUGACUCCAGUAUCUGACCAUCUCUGGUUUUGCCUAUGCUGUGCCCAUGCAUACCUGUUGCUUCUUCAUUGACCUCUCACCUUUAGGGCUCACAGCUGGGGAACCAACAUUACAACGU
rnacentral:misc_RNA from 1 species